rnacentral:rRNA from 1 species
GCUCAACCGGGGAGGGUCAUUGGAAACUGGGGAACUUGAGUGCAGAAGAGGAGAAUGGAAUUCCACGUGUAGCGGUGAAAUGCGUAGAGAUGUGGAGGAACACCAGUGGCGAAGGCGACUCUCUGGUCUGUAACUGACGCUGAGGAGCGAAAGCGUGGGGAGCGAACAGGAUUAGAUACCCUGGUAGUCCACGCCGUAAACGAUGAGUGCUAAGUGUUAGGGGGUUUCCGCCCCUUAGUGCUGCAGCUAACGCAUUAAGCACUCCGCCUGGGGAGUACGGUCGCAAGACUGAAACUCAAAGGAAUUGACGGGGGCCCGCACAAGCGGUGGAGCAUGUGGUUUAAUUCGAAGCAACGCGAAGAACCUUACCAGGUCUUGACAUCCUCUGACAAUCCUAGAGAUAGGACGUCCCCUUCGGGGGCAGAGUGACAGGUGGUGCAUGGUUGUCGUCAGCUCGUGUCGUGAGAUGUUGGGUUAAGUCCCGCAACGAGCGCAACCCUUGAUCUUAGUUGCCAGCAUUCAGUUGGGCACUCUAAGGUGACUGCCGGUGACAAACCGGAGGAAGGUGGGGAUGACGUCAAAUCAUCAUGCCCCUUAUGGCCUGGGCUACACACGUGCUACAAUGGACAGAACAAAG